UUGUCGGGUAAGUUCCGACCUGCACGAAUGGCGUAACGACUUCUCAACUGUCUCAACCAUAGACUCGGCGAAAUUGCACUACGAGUAAAGAUGCUCGUUACGCGCGGCAGGACGAAAAGACCCCGGGACCUUCACUAUAGCUUGGUAUUGGCGUUUGGUUCGGUUUGUGUAGGAUAGGUGGGAGACUGUGAAGCAGGCACGCCAGUGUUUGUGGAGUCAUCGUUGAAAUACCACUCUGAUCGUAUUGAACCUCUAACCUCGGACCGUAUAUCCGGUCCAGGGACAGUGCCUGGUGGGUAGUUUAACUGGGGCGGUUGCCUCCCAAAAUGUAACGGAGGCGCCCAAAGGUUCCCUCAACCUGGACGGCAAUCAGGUGUUGAGUGCAAGUGCACAAGGGAGCUUGACUGCGAGACCUACAAGUCAAGCAGGGACGAAAGUCGGGACUAGUGAUCCGGCACCUCUGAGUGGAAGGGGUGUCGCUCAACGGAUAAAAGGUACCCCGGGGAUAACAGGCUGAUCUUCCCCAAGAGUCCAUAUCGACGGGAUGGUUUGGCACCUCGAUGUCGGCUCGUCGCAUCCUGGGGCUGGAGCAGGUCCCAAGGGUUGGGCUGUUCGCCCAUUAAAGCGGCACGCGAGCUGGGUUUAGAACGUCGUGAGACAGUUCGGUCUCUAUCCGCCGCGCGCGUCAGAAACUUGAGGAAACCUGUCCCUAGUACGAGAGGACCGGGACGGACGAACCUCUGGUGUACCAGUUGUUCCACCAGGAGCACGGCUGGAUAGCUACGUUCGGACAGGAUAACCGCUGAAAGC
rnacentral:rRNA from 2 species